UGCCAUCCGUAUAUAUUUGUACUACAC
rnacentral:sRNA from 1 species